rnacentral:rRNA from 1 species
UACGUAGGGCGCAAGCGUUUGUCCGGAAUUAUUGGGCGUAAAGAGCUCGUAGGCGGUCUGUUGCGUCUGCUGUGAAAACUCGGGGCUUAACCCCGAGCCUGCAGUGGAUACGGGCAGACUAGAGGUAGGUAGGGGAGAAUGGAAUUCCCGGUGUAGCGGUGAAAUGCGCAGAUAUCGGGAGGAACACCGGUGGCGAAGGCGGUUCUCUGGGCCUUACCUGACGCUGAGGAGCGAAAGCGUGGGUAGCAAACAGG